AUUGAACGCUGGCGGCAGGCCUAACACAUGCAAGUCGAGAGAGCGGCGGACGGGUGAGUACUGUCUGGGAAACUGCCCGAUGGAGGGGGCUAACUACUGGAAACGGUAGAUAAUCCCGCAUACCAUCAGAUGUGUCCAGAUGGGAUUAGUUAGUCGGGGGGGUAACGGCUCACCUAGGCGACGAUCCCGAGCUGGUCUGAGAGGAUGACCAGCCACACUGUACCUUAGACACUGUCCAGACUCCUACGGGAGGCAGCAGGGGGGAAUAUUGCACAAUGGGCGCAAGCCUGAUGCAGCCAUGCCGCGUGUGUGAAGAAGGCCUUCGGGUUGUAAAGCACUUUCAGCGGGGAGGCGUUACCCGCAGAAGAAGCACCGGCUAACUCCGUGCCAGCAGCCGCGGUAAUUC
rnacentral:rRNA from 1 species